GGCUGGGACCCCAGCCCCACAUUGUGCCAGGGAAGGAGUUGGUGCUUUAUCAGCUGUGAAGGUUGAUAGUGUGCUUUCUAUAUAAUGAAGUUUCCGUUACAAAGCUUGAAUUCCAACUUCAGCACCCCACCAUUGAAGACUUCAAACAGCAAGUGGAUAUAGUCAAGUUGAAGAUUUUUCUCUGAAAUUGUUUAAGUAGCAAGAAAACUGGCCGUCUAAAUCACAAAAUCAGCAAAACAAAAAGUGUCAUUGAAAUAGCCCAAUGAUUGAAUUGUUACUGCUUACUGGAGCUGGGAGUACGGUUUGGAAAGACACUUCUAUAAAAGACGAAGUUGGUUGUACUUCCCAUGAAACCAUUACUUGAAGACACACGUUUGCAUAAUAGCAAUGAGA